UGGGGAAUAUUGGACAAUGGGCGGAAGCCUGAUCCAGCAACGCCGCGUGAGGGAUGACGGCCUUCGGGUUGUAAACCUCUUUCAGUAGGGACGAAGCGUGAGUGACGGUACCUACAGAAGAAGCACCGGCCAACUACGUG
rnacentral:rRNA from 1 species